AAUCAACGCUGGCGGCGUGCCUCAGACAUGCAAGUCGAACGCGAAAGUCCCCUUCGGGGGAUGAUUAGAGUGGCGCACGGGUGAGUAACACGUAGGUAAUCUACCUUCGAGUGGGGAAUAACUCAGGGAAACUUGAGCUAAUACCGCAUAAUGCAGCGGCACCACAUGGUGACAGUUGUUAAAGCAUUUAUGCGCUUGAAGAGGAGCCUGCGGCGGAUUAGCUAGUUGGUAAGGUAAUGGCUUACCAAGGCUACGAUCUGUAACCGGCCUGAGAGGGCGGACGGUCACACUGACACUGAAUAACGGGUCAGACUCCUACGGGAGGCAGCAGUCGGGAAUUUUGGGCAAUGGGCGAAAGCCUGACCCA
rnacentral:rRNA from 1 species